GGUUUAAUCGUGGCUCAGGAUGAACGCUAGCGGCAGGCUUAACACAUGCAAGUCGAGGGGUAUAGGUUUUCGGACCUAGAGACCGGCGCACGGGUGCGUAACGCGUAUGCAAUCUGCCUUUUACAGAGGGAUAGCCCAGAGAAAUUUGGAUUAAUACCUCAUAGUAUUAUUGAAUGGCAUCAUUUAAUAAUUAAAGUUCCAACGGUAAAAGAUGAGCAUGCGUCCCAUUAGCUAGAUGGUAAGGUAACGGCUUACCAUGGCGACGAUGGGUAGGGGUCCUGAGAGGGAGAUCCCCCACACUGGUACUGAGACACGGACCAGACUCCUACGGGAGGCAGCAGUGAGGAAUAUUGGUCAAUGGGCGCAAGCCUGAACCAGCCAUGCCGCGUGCAGGAUGAAGGUCCUAUGGAUUGUAAACUGCUUUUGUACAGGAAGAACACUGGAACGUGUUCCAGCUUGACGGUACUGUAAGAAUAAGGAUCGGCUAACUCCGU
rnacentral:rRNA from 1 species